rnacentral:rRNA from 1 species
GUGGUCGUGAGAUGUUGGGUUAAGUCCCGCAACGAGCGCAACCCUUACCACUAGUUGCCAGCGAUUCGGUCGGGCACUCUAGCGGAACUGCCGGUGAUAAACCGGAGGAAGGUGGGGAUGACGUCAAGUCAUCAUGGCCUCUAUGUCCAGGGCUACACACGUGCUACAAUGGCCGGCACAAACUGCCGCGAACUCGCGAGAGGGAGCUAAUCGGAGAAAGCCGGUCUCAGUUCGGAUUGGAGUCUGCAACUCGACUCCAUGAAGUUGGAAUCGCUAGUAAUCGCAGAUCAACAUGCUGCGGUGAAUACGUUCCCGGGCU